UUGCAAGUUUUUGCAUUAUUCUUGCUGAAGAAAACCAAUGAUUCUUAAAUUGCCUUCCUUUAAAAAGUUUUUAGCUUGCAUUAUCCUAUCCAUUUGGAUAUUUUAUGGUCAAAAUGCGCACAUUAAUGCCUAGGGUAACAUAAAAGAGAAAACAUUCACUAUGGAAUACAAUACCAGUUAAUGGCACAUAAUUUAACUUUAGGACUCUUAAACCAAUCUUCUGACUUACCCUAGUUGCUUCCUCUGAAUAUUUCAAUAUUCGCAUUUCAGAUGUUUGUAAAGUGAAAAUUCUUUACUUUUUGUUAAAUCAAGACUUAUUAAAAGCCUGUUAGAGAUGUGCCCAACUAAUUAGUUUACGACUGGGCUAGAUCAAUCGCAUAGUGCCUUUAUGAAGCAGUGGAAAAGCACUGAGCCUGAAUGAUACUAAAUAAGUGUCAUUGCACUGGUUAAACUUUACUACUUCUUUUGGGUAAUUCUGUACAAGAGGUUCUAGGAAAAUGAUGAAUUGUGUAUUUAUAGUUUUAUUAAAUGUUGCAUUUUUUUAAGCAUUCCAGUGUUAUUAUAAAUGAAUGUAUGGGGUUGGUAAGUUAACUUUGACAACAUGUUUUAAGGCUAAACAUUUGAUAAAGCACUUGAAAUGCCUGAGAAAAUAUGCAAUCUGCUGCUUAAAAUGGUGAAGUAUGUUCCAAGACAAGAUCUUCCCAAAUAUGGAAUGGUUCAUAUGUGAGGUGGAUGUCUUCCUCUUUCCAAAAUACUCUGAAGAACUCUUCCUGCCUUCUCUGAGCAGAGGGGCCUUUGCUGUCAACAUUUUGUCAGCAUUUUAUGGCAGGACUACGUCAUGUCUUCAAGAAAGAAUUUGCUGUAAAAUGAUUGAGCAACUUGCCAUUUCUUCAGAAAAUACCUGUUGCUGAACGUUUAGUAACUAUCCUUUAUAUUACAAAAAGUAGAGUUCUACUUGUAGUUUGUACAACAUAAUAACUGGCUUAGUAUCAAGGAGGUUGGCUGGAUGCUGUUGUCUUGAAAGUUUCCAGACUCUUUUUGACAUUAUCAGUGCAGCACUCGACUUGGAGAAAGAGUAUGGUUUAUGCUUAAUGAAGUGAGGAAGGAGCUACUGCUGGAGGAGAAAAACUGUGGAAAUUAUCCCUCUGUCUCCCACUUUUCUAUUAGUUGGAACACCCUUUUCCUGAAUAGAAAAAGGCUUACUGGAAUCUUACGAUCCAAACCUCUCAAUCUGCAUGUUUUAAUGGUUUUAGCAACUAUUUAAAGACUUUUUUAAAUCAACUUCAUGCGGAAAUUGUUAUUUCUGUCCUCCCAUUUCCCAUCCAGGUGCACCUAUUAUUAGUGCAGGCUUAAUUCAAGCACUCACUGGCAAGAUGCAUCUUCCUUGAUAACUUCUGCCAUCUGAAACAGAAAGAAUUGCCUGGACUUUUGUCUUCCAAUAGAUAAAAUAUAAUCUCUAUUUUCAUAAAGAUUAGCCCUAUGGAUGAAAUUUAAUAACAAAAUGUUCUUAAUGAUCAAAAAUGCAGAGAAUCUAAAUGAGCUUUAAUAAAAUUAUCCAGUUGAAUCUGC